GUCCACGCCGUAAACGAUGGAUACUAGCUGUUGGGAGCGAUCUCAGUGGCUAAGCGAAAGUUAUAAGUAUCCCACCUGGGGAGUACGUUCGCAAGAAUGAAACUCAAAGGAAUUGACGGGGGCCCCGCACAAGCGGUGGAGCAUGUGGUUUAAUUCGAUGAUACGCGAGGAACCUUACCAAGGCUUAAAUGUAGAUUUACCGGACUGGAAACAGUUUUUCGCAAGACAAUUUACAAGGUGCUGCAUGGUUGUCGU
rnacentral:rRNA from 1 species